AACGAACGCUGGCGGCGCGUUUUAAGCAUGCAAGUCGAAGGGUAUGUAUCUGCUUGCAGAUACAGAGACUGGCGCACGGGUGAGUAACACGUGAGAAUCUACCUAAAGAUGGGGGAUAGCUCAUGGAAACAUGGGGUAAUACCGCAUAUGCCUAAGGGUGAAAGAUCCGUUUGGAUCGUCUUUAGAUGAGCUCGCGGUCCAUUAGCUAGUUGGUAGGGUAAGAGCCUACCAAGGCUACGAUGGAUAGCCGGCCUGAGAGGGUGAACGGCCACAUUGGAACUGAGACACGGUCCAG
rnacentral:rRNA from 1 species